CAUCAGGCUGUAGGGAGGAAAGAAGUCCAGCCCAGGAGUUUGGAUUUUUCCUGCAGAGGAGGAGAAGCCAGUGAAAUGAUUUCAGCAAUGAAGUUAUUUAGUGAGAUGAAUAUUUCGGAGAGGCUGGUCUAAGAUGACUGGACAAGAAGCCGUGGGGUAGGAGGCAGGAUCUGUCAGGAGGCUAGAGAAAGAACCCAUUGUUACCACAUUACAUACUCAAGGAAGAAAAGAGGCAUUCAGGACUUAAGGAUUAAUUGAGAAAACAUAUCCCCCAACACAGCGUUUUGUUGUGUUUGGAAAAGUGUUAGUGGCAGGCUUCAGAAAGUGGUCCCUGGAGGCCACUUGUAGAGGCUGAUGGAAGGCGAUGGCAGACAAAGGUUCCAGGCUGCUGCAGCAGUCCGAGUGCUGUUAGGAAAAGUCAGUCCACCUCUUCCUGGAGACCAAAAGAGGCAGUUCCUCUGCCUUCUCAUGCACUUCGGAUAUCCUUUAACCCGCCAAAAGGGAUACUGUGAGCAUAGAAUAUGGAUACCAACAAAUAUCGUGUUUGCCAUGACAGGAGAACCUUUAAGUAUGGAAGCCGAAGUUCCUGCUGGGCAAAGGGUAACACAGGACACACAUUCCAAGCCUCUGUACCAGCAAGAAUAUAACUGCUUUUACCUACGAGUUGAGGCCAUGUGAAGUACAAUGCAAAAUACUGAGGGCCAUGUGCAUGGAGGACGCCAAGGCCCCAGAGGAUGGUGAAGCCACCACCCUGGACAGGGCCUGGAUCCCUGAGUGACUACAAGGAGCAGAGCCCCCCAUCCAUGGUGUUGAGUCACCGAGAUAUUAGGAUUUGGAGCAAUUAGCUUAUUCCUUUGUCCCUACAAAUAUGUUCCCUCCUCCAAAAUCAUGGGCCCUAAAUUUCUCUGUAGCCUAUAACAUUGCAUUAACAUCACUUUCCACCAUUCAUUUUGACCUCUUGCUUCCAUUUGGACAACUGCCCUCCAUAGCUCUAAGGGCAGGAACUGCCUAGAGUCAAUAUGCUUAGAACUUCCCCUAUGAUUCAAAUUCCCAUUAAAAGCAAACCAAAGUGAAAUCAAACCCAGAGGCAUGAGAUGUCCAACUGUUCUCAGGCUUGCUGCCCAGCAAUAAUCAAUCCUUGGAUCCAAUGGCAUGGAGGACCCAGCUCGAAGGCCUGACUUUAUUUUCAUGGCUGGUCAAUAUAGCAUUUUAAGGAAUAAGUACUGUCCCAAUGCCUUUUAGUUCCUAAGCUAUUCUCUCAUGUGUCAAUAUCAAAGACUAGCAGGACUAAGAAAGCCAGGCAGAGUUGGGCAAGAGAUAAACAGAUAAUCUAUCAGCUGGGCAAGAAAGGAUAUGAAGAAGAAACCUGGAAAAAAAAAAGGUUUUUGGAAUGUGUGAUAGUCAUCAGGGCUAUUCAUCAAUGUUCUUGUUCUCCUUUCAGACAGACCCAAUGAUAGCAUUGCGAUUCCCUGUCCCUUCAAAGUCAAAACAUGGCCAUGUGACCUGCAGUGGCCAACGACACAUGAGCAAAAGUAAUCUGUGUCACUUAUGGGCAGAAGUCUUUGAGAGCCAUGGCCAAAUGUGCUAGGUUCCCUUCCCAUGCCCCUGGAACUAAAUUCCAGAUGGCAAUGAUCAGUCAGCCAGGGUCCCUGCGUGAGAAAGACAUGUGCCAGUCUGAGGAGUACAGGCAGCAUGAGUAAGGAAUAAAUCUUUGUUUGAAGCCACUGAGAUUUUUAAGUAGUGACUGAAUCAUAAUUUAGCCUAUUCGGAUUAUUAUAGGGUAUCCAACAUUUAAUGAAGAAUGGGCUUUCACAUUCAAAAUGGGAAAGAUGAAAAAUACUCCCACAAUUUUUACAUCUCUUCCCCAAAGAGAUACUCCUAAACACAGUAGCAGCCGAAAACAGGUCCUGCCAACUAAUUUGAAUCAGCACAUUAUGUCUAGAAGAGCAGUCAUGGGCCAAAUUUG